rnacentral:misc_RNA from 1 species
CUGGACUACAGGGGUUCUAAUCCCGUUUGCUCCCCUGGCCUUCGUGCCUCAGUGUCAGGAAUUGCCCAGAGAGUCGCCUUCGCAACUGGUCUUCCUCACGAUAUCUACGCAUUUCACUGCUACACCGU